UACGUAAGUGGCGAGCGUUAUCCGGAAUUACUGGGCGUAAAGCGUGCGUAGGCGGUUUAGUGUGUGGGCAUUGAAAGCCCGGGGCUCAACUCCGGAUCCGGUUCCCAAACUGCUAGACUUGAGCGUAUCAGAGGACAGUGGAAUUCCCGGUGUAGCGGUAAUAUGCGUAGAUAUCGGGAGGAACACCAGUGGCGAAGGCGACUGUCUGGGGUAUUGCUGACGCUGAGGCACGAAAGCCAGGGGAGCGAACGGG
rnacentral:rRNA from 1 species